GGUGGAUCAGUGGCGAACGGGUGAGUAACACGUGAGCAACCUGCCCUGGACUCUGGGAUAAGCGCUGGAAACGGCGUCUAAUACUGGAUAUGAGCCUCUUCCGCAUGGUGGGGGUUGGAAAGAUUUUUUGGUCUGGGAUGGGCUCGCGGCCUAUCAGCUUGUUGGUGAGGUAAUGGCUCACCAAGGCGUCGACGGGUAGCCGGCCUGAGAGGGUGACCGGCCACACUGGGACUGAGACACGGCCCAGACUCCUACGGGAGGCAGCAGUGGGGAAUAUUGCACAAUGGGCGAAAGCCUGAUGCAGCAACGCCGCGUGAGGGAUGACGGCCUUCGGGUUGUAAACCUCUUUUAGCAGGGAAGAAGCGAAAGUGACGGUACCUGCAGAAAAAGCGCCGGCUAACUACGUGCCAGCAGCCGCGGUAAUACGUAGGGCGCAAGCGUUAUCCGGAAUUAUUGGGCGUAAAGAGCUCGUAGGCGGUUUGUCGCGUCUGCUGUGAAAUCCCGAGGCUCAACCUCGGGCCUGCAGUGGGUACGGGCAGACUAGAGUGCGGUAGGGGAGAUUGGAAUUCCUGGUGUAGCGGUGGAAUGCGCAGAUAUCAGGAGGAACACCGAUGGCGAAGGCAGAUCUCUGGGCCGUAACUGACGCUGAGGAGCGAAAGGGUGGGGAGCAAACAGGCUUAGAUACCCUGGUAGUCCACCCCGUAAACGUUGGGAACUAGUUGUGGGGACCAUUCCACGGUUUCCGUGACGCAGCUAACGCAUUAAGUUCCCCGCCUGGGGAGUACGGCCGCAAGGCUAAAACUCAAAGG
rnacentral:rRNA from 1 species